GUCUACGGCCAUGCUAUCCUGAACAAGUCCGAUCCCGUCUGAUCUCAGAAGCUAAGCGGGGUCAGGCCUGGUUAGUACUUGGAUGGGAGACCACCUAGGAGGACCAAGCUUAUAAUCU
rnacentral:rRNA from 1 species